rnacentral:pre_miRNA from 1 species
AUUUCGCAAAUAGUGUUAUUCUUGCUUUAUUUAAGUCGGUGAACCGAAUCAAUUGUAUCACAUCUAUGUUCAUAAAUAGAAUGGUAUUUGUUUGAUUUCUCACUAUUAAAAUGACAUACUCACACAUAAUGUUUGCUCAAU